UACGUAGGGCGCAAGCGUUAUCCGGAAUUAUUGGGCGUAAAGAGCUCGUAGGCGGUCUGUCACGUCGGAUGUGAAAACCCGAGGCUCAACCUCGGGCCUGCAGUCGAUACGGGCAAACUAGAGUACUGCAGGGGAGACUGGAAUCCCUGGUGUAGCGGUGAAAUGCGCAGAUAUCAGGAGGAACACCGGUGGCGAAGGCGGGUCUCUGGGCAGUAACUGACGCUGAGGAGCGAAAGCAUGGGGAGCGAACAGG
rnacentral:rRNA from 1 species